rnacentral:rRNA from 1 species
UUCCGGUUGAUCCUGCCGGAGGUCACUGCUAUUGGGAUUCGACUAAGCCAUGCGAGUCGAGAGGGUUCGGCCCUCGGCUGACGGCUCAGUAACACGUGGAUAAUCUGCCCUUAGGUGGAGGAUAAUCUCGGGAAACUGAGAAUAAUACUCCAUAGAUCUAGGAUGCUGGAAUGCAUCUAGAUUGAAAGCUCCGGCGCCUAAGGAUGAGUCUGCGGACUAUCAGGUUGUAGUCAGGGUAAAGACCUGACUAGCCUACGACGGAUACGGGUUGUGAGAGCAAUAACCCGGAGACGAUAUCUGAGACACGAUAUCGGGCCCUACGGGGCGCAGCAGGCGCGAAAACUUCACACUGUGCGAAAGCGCGAUGAGGGAAUCCCAAGUGUUUGCUCGUAAGAGUAAACUGUUUCUUUGUUUAAAACGCAGAGAGAGUAAGGGCUGGGUAAGACGGGUGCCAGCCGCCGCGGUAAUACCUGCAGCUCGAGUGGUGAUCAUUAUUAUUGGGCCUAAAACGUCCGUAGCCGGUUUAGUAAAUGCCUGGGUAAAUCGCGUAGCUUAACUAUACGACUUCCGGGUAGACUGCUAAACUUGAGACCGGGAGAGGCUAGAGGUACUCCUGGGGUAGAGGUGAAAUUCUGUAAUCCUAGGGGGACCACCAGUGGCGAAGGCGUCUAGCUAGAACGGGUCUGACGGUGAGGGACGAAGCCCUGGGGCACAAACCGGAUUAGAUACCCGGGUAGUCCAGGGUGUAAACGCUGCUUGCUUGAUGUUAGUUGGGCUCCGAGCCCAACUAGUGUCGGAGAGAAGUUGUUAAGCAAGCUGCCUGGGAAGUACGGUCGCAAGGCUGAAACUUAAAGGAGUUGGCGGGGGAGCACAGCAACGGGUGGAGCGUG